UUAAAUUGAAGAGUUUGAUCAUGGCUCAGAUUGAACGCUGGCGGCAGGCCUAACACAUGCAAGUCGAACGGUAACAGGAAACAGCUUGCUGUUUCGCUGACGAGUGGCGGACGGGUGAGUAAUGUCUGGGAAACUGCCUGAUGGAGGGGGAUAACUACUGGAAACGGUAGCUAAUACCGCAUAAUGUCGCAAGACCAAAGAGGGGGACCUUCGGGCCUCUUGCCAUCGGAUGUGCCCAGAUGGGAUUAGCUAGUAGGUGGGGUAACGGCUCACCUAGGCGACGAUCCCUAGCUGGUCUGAGAGGAUGACCAGCCACACUGGAACUGAGACACGGUCCAGACUCCUACGGGAGGCAGCAGUGGGGAAUAUUGCACAAUGGGCGCAAGCCUGAUGCAGCCAUGCCGCGUGUAUGAAGAAGGCCUUCGGGUUGUAAAGUACUUUCAGCGGGGAGGAAGGGAGUAAAGUUAAUACCUUUACUCAUUGACGUUACCCGCAGAAGAAGCACCGGCUAACUCCGUGCCAGCAGCCGCGGUAAUACGGAGGGUGCAAGCGUUAAUCGGAAUUACUGGGCGUAAAGCGCACGCAGGCGGUUUGUUAAGUCAGAUGUGAAAUCCCCGGGCUCAACCUGGGAACUGCAUCUGAUACUGGCAAGCUUGAGUCUCGUAGAGGGGGGUGGAAUUCCAGGUGUAGCGGUGAAAUGCGUAGAGAUCUGGAGGAAUACCGGUGGCGAAGGCGGCCCCCUGGACGAAGACUGACGCUCAGGUGCGAAAGCGUGGGGAGCAAACAGGAUUAGAUACCCUGGUAGUCCACGCCGUAAACGAUGUCGACUUGGAGGUUGUGCCCUUGAGGCGUGGCUUCCGGAGCUAACGCGUUAAGUCGACCGCCUGGGGAGUACGGCCGCAAGGUUAAAACUCAAAUGAAUUGACGGGGGCCCGCACAAGCGGUGGAGCAUGUGGUUUAAUUCGAUGCAACGCGAAGAACCUUACCUGGUCUUGACAUCCACAGAACUUUCCAGAGAUGGAUUGGUGCCUUCGGGAACUGUGAGACAGGUGCUGCAUGGCUGUCGUCAGCUCGUGUUGUGAAAUGUUGGGUUAAGUCCCGCAACGAGCGCAACCCUUAUCCUUUGUUGCCAGCGGUCCGGCCGGGAACUCAAAGGAGACUGCCAGUGAUAAACUGGAGGAAGGUGGGGAUGACGUCAAGUCAUCAUGGCCCUUACGACCAGGGCUACACACGUGCUACAAUGGCGCAUACAAAGAGAAGCGACCUCGCGAGAGCAAGCGGACCUCAUAAAGUGCGUCGUAGUCCGGAUUGGAGUCUGCAACUCGACUCCAUGAAGUCGGAAUCGCUAGUAAUCGUGGAUCAGAAUGCCACGGUGAAUACGUUCCCGGGCCUUGUACACACCGCCCGUCACACCAUGGGAGUGGGUUGCAAAAGAAGUAGGUAGCUUAACCUUCGGGAGGGCGCUUACCACUUUGUGAUUCAUGACUGGGGUGAAGUCGUAACAAGGUAACCGUAGGGGAACCUGCGGUUGGAUCACCUCCUUACCUUAAAGAA
rnacentral:rRNA from 1 species